UUACAUCAAGUGAUAGGCUGAGAUGCAAUACCAUAGCUGUUUUCUCAGCCGUUGUGCACUGAACUAUUACCGUGUACAUGUAUGUUCAGUGUAAGAAAAAUGCAUUUGUUCCGUGUUCGUAAUAUGGUUGCUUUGCUUCAUAUGUGCACAUGUGUUGAUAAGUUAUGAAAAUUUCUGUCUAACGCAAAACAUGCUUUGAAGAAAUGGUUAGAAGAUCUAAUCCCCAGGCUUAAUGCGCUCAAUGACGCCUGAACCUUAGAUGUUGCACAAGCAGCCAAAAGAACCUGAUAUUCCUUUGAAAUCCAAACACUGAAGCUAUAAGAAUAAAAGGGUGCAAUGCUUGGAGAUCUCAACCAAAGAUAUAAGAAAUGAAAAGGGAUUACGAAUCGAAGCUAUUGACAUAAUAUACGCAAGAACUCUGGCAAAUUCCUAACACAGAUCUCGCAUUACCAAAACAAGUCUAGAACAUCUGAAGCAUAUUGGAACAUUGUCGCAAGGAAAUGGGAGGUGCACCUCUCCUACAAAUUUGCUUUCACAGAUUUGCGGUUUCAAGCUCCGGCUGCUAUAUAAAAAACACGAAUUGAUGGCCAAAGACUGGGUUCAGGGCGACCGGCGUCUUUUCCUGUUCGUGUUAAUGUACAUUCCUUUUAGACUGCCGGGGCUUUCAAUCUCUGCCAAGUAGUGAACUGAUUUGGCAGCACCCUGCACACCUUUCUGAGAGAUCCGGCAGCAGCCUAUAAUGGUCAGCGACUCCAACUUCUGUGAACGUGCCAGCUCAGCCAUUCCAUCAUCUGUCACUUUCUUGCAUUUGCGGAGCGUGAGAUUGCUCAAGCAAGGAGCCUGAAUAAUGAAAUUCAUACUAGCAUCGGUUAUAGACCUGCAAUCCACGAGCUCAAGAUUCUCCAGGAACUGUGAGGAUGAGAGGCACUUCAUCCCCUCGUCAUACAAAAUAUUGGCACCAUUUAGCAAAAGAGCACGAAUUGGACAAGACUGGAUUAGCGUCACAAUGCCCUCUUGUGUGAAACCUAUUUCAGUAGGCCAAACGGGGUCGCAAAAUGCGAAUGUGAGCUCAACAACCUGAAGCAUAGGGCAGCUGAUAGCUAGAGCCUUUAGGCUAACAUCAGUCAAUGGCGUCCUAAACUCAUAAUCUUCACAUCUCAGAGGCAUAAGCUUAAGUGAGAUCGUUUUAAGCUUGCUGCACCUCUGGAAUAGUGCAAUCAUCUCAUUCUCUUUUAGACCAAUAACAUAGUCCAGGUAAAGUGUCUCCAAUGCUUUGCACUUCGCCAGGAGGAAAACGAAGCCCAGUUUCUGGCUCGGUUAUAAUAUGAGCCAGCCUAAGAUCCUUCAAGCCAUCACAGCAGAUGUCAUAACUAUAUGGGUAGCCAGACACGUAGGAGGGGUCAGAGGCCCCUGGCAUCCAGUAAUUUCCAUUAAUCUCAAACUCAAACUUUUGGAGACUCGUCCACCCUGGGCCAAACUUUAAGAGGUCAUACUGGCUGAUUCCAUCGCAUUCCUUUACAACAAGUUCCCCCAGUGCUCCAUACCUCCCAAGGUACUCCAGCCACUCCCCGUUGUCUACUGCCGUACAGUCAACAAGGUGGAGAACCGAAAGAUACCUGCAACCAACCGCCACUUGAAAAAUCCCAGUAGAAGUGACUGCUGGUGCACGGUCCAGCCUGAGGGACUUCAAAUUUUUGCACUCAGCUAGAUAACCAAGACCAGCGUCAUCGAUGUAUGAGCAUAAGCUUAAAGCAAGAUCAGAUAGCGAGGGGCAGUGUGAUGAUAGAACAAGGAGGCCUUGGUUGUUCAACUGAUCCCGGUUACUAGUCUUCCACCCAGAGUAAUUGAUCUCAACUUUCACCAAAUUGGGGAACCGGGAGAACAGCGAUACCAAGGCUUCUGCAGAAGGGUUGAGUCCACAGCCAACGUGGAUAGCAUCCCUGUGCUCCGCCUCAACGGUGCAGAGCUGCUUCGACACGAGGGAAAGAGAAUUAAGAUCACUUGUCUUGGUAAUCCUCUUGACGAUCUCUGCAAGCAGUGGCUCUGGGAUAUCCUCCAUCGAGUGUCUCAGCUGCACAACCUGGGCAAUCUCAAGGUUCGGCAGGAGCUGAAGUAAAGAUUCAUUGUCAGAAUGGAACACAGCAAGAUAACCAAAUGACAACUGUAAGAGCUAAUGUAAAAGGAACAUCAGUGAAAAUUUGAACUUUUUAAUACUAAGUUGAAAGAUUCAUGCGCUUAUCUUCGCAACGAGUGUUAAUGAGUUGCAGCCUGAUGUAUGCAUCCAUAUCAUGGAACAAGAAAAGGUUAUAAGAAAAAUCAAAUUAACAUAUACCGCCCUACAUAUGGAACUGAAAUUGCUAGCCCAUAGCUGAGCAUCAGUGGGGAGAGAGAGGAUAGUCUAGAAAUACACCAAUUGGAACUACUACAAGUUCACCACAUAACUAAACAUCCACCUGCUGAACUGAACACAGAUCUGGAUGGGCCCAAGCAAUCAGAUGAAGAUAACAAUCCAGAAUAGGUUUUGCUUAGAAAUUAAACCAGGCCAUUUCCUCGCAGAGCUACACAGUUAUUCCAGGCUCAUGUGUAGUGGGCUAGGUGCAUCAAGAUUCAAGUACAUAGUGGAAGAACUCAAGUGGAAAGAGCCAAUGUUGCUCGAGAAGGAAAGGGAAUGGACCCAAAUCCGUACCUCGGAGGAAGCAGCGAGGGAGGCGCCGUUAGCACGGCCGGCCGGAGGGAAGAACUGAGCAGGGACGGCGGUGACCGAGGGCGGUGGAUUGGGCGGAGAAACCCCCGCGGCGAGGUCGACGGCGAAACCCUUGCGACGGUGAGUGGAGCGUCGGAUUCGGCAGCUCGAAUGAGGAAUUUUAGUACUACUUCAGCCGCAGUGAAGGUGGCUUGGGCUUGGGCCCGACUUCAUGAUGCGGCCCAUAUUUCAUUUUCGUUUUGCUUUAAUUUAAAAAAAUUCAUUGAAAAAUCUCAACCGUUCGGGAUUUGACCUUGGCAAUUCGAACAUUUUCGAUGGCAAUUUGAGUUGACGUGAAGACAACUAAAUUUGUUGGCAAGCACGAUAAUUUUCUGACAAAAACAAAUUGAGAGCGGAUUUGUCAUGCUUAUCAACUAAAGUUGCAAUGGUCAGUAAAUAUAAAUUGUCACAAAAAAGUUCGUUUUCCCAUGGUCAAAUCCCGAAUGUUCAGGACUUACCGGCAUCCUUUUGGUUGUGUGGGAUGUAUAUAUCUUCUAUUCUUAAAUAGUUGAUCCCCAUUAUCUCAACUCUCUCGACAUGCAUACAUGUCAUCUCAUCAUCCACUAAUUAUUUCCUUUAACAUGCAUGAGAAUUGCUAUUUAUAUGACCUCUCAACAUGCACAACUUCCCAACUUAAAUCAUUUAAAUAAUAUUUCUCUUGACAUGCAUGAGAAAUACAAUAUAUUAUAUCUAUUUAAAUUUUCAUUUAGAUUUCAUCAAAAAGUAUUCAAAUCAAUCCCCGUAGCAACAUGUGGGGUAUCAUCUAGUUUAUAUUAAAGACUCAUCCUUAUAAGGAGACCCAAAAACAACAAAAAUUACAAAUAAGUCCCUCUAGAUCCCAACGGCGCGGGCAUGAGGCGUCCAAGACGAGCCGGUGGCGCGCCACUGCCGCCGCUCCUCCUCUACCUGGAAUUUAGAGUCAGCCUAUUCCGUAGACAGGAAGUCACCGAUGCUAAGGAUCCAAAGAAUCGUUCACUCUAAUCGGCAACGACAUGAACGUUUCCCAUAAUCGGCAACCGUGCAGCACACGCUUGCUCCACCUCUCCCCUGCGGCUACUCCAUCUCUCCUGUUGUUGGUGUUGUUGCAGGCUCCCUUGCUCAAGCAGCCGCUCCAUCCUCUAGUGUGGGCGCCGCUCCAUCCUCUAAUUCGUGAACAUCUUUUAAAAUCACAAACAUUAUUCAAAUACAUUAACAUUUUCCAAAACGACAAACAAUUUUUGAGUUCAUGAACAUUUUCUCAAAUUUGCAAAUGUGCUUCGAAAUCAUAAACAUUUUUUGAAUUCAUGAACUUUUUUUAAGUUCCCAAACAUUUUUUGAAUUUGUGAUUCUUUUUGAAUUUGUAUUUUUUUUAGAAUCAUGAACAUUUUCAGAUUCGUGAGCAUUUUUUAAAAUCACAAUAUUUUUCAAAUCCCUGAACAUUUUUCAAAAUCACAAGUAAUUUUCAAAUCCGUAAACAUUUUAAAAAAUCACAAAUAUGAGCAAUUUUUGAAUUAGUGAACAUCUUUUUGAAUUCACGAACAUUUUUCCAUAUCCUAAACAUUUUUAAAUUAUUGUAACAUCGACUUUUUUUACUGUAACUGUGCGGAAAAUUUUAUCUCAACGCCAACUCAAUGUACAGGGUGAGAAUCACCUAGAGAAAAAACAGAGGCCAUCAAGGAAGAAUAAAAAGAGGAAGUCAACGGGAGUCAGGUUAGUCUUUUGCAGGGGUAGAAUUAUCUUACUCGCAAAAAAAGGGAUAGAAUUUGCUGAAAAUAGACCGCAGGAUGGCGGUGUAACAUUGAAUAAUUAGACUCGCUGUGCACAAACAAUACAUGUCUGUUUGAAUUUUGUUUAAAACAGAGUAAAGUUUCCUCCCAAAAAAGAGAGUAAAGUUCAACUUUGUGCACUACGUGAGAGGCUAAAAUGCGAGCCCAUCUCUAUCUGCCUUUUUGCCAUUUUUCACAGAAUUUGCCUUCUUUCAUGUAACGUAGGUUUACAGUGUGCCCACAAAAAGAAAAAAGAAAAACAAGAAAACGCCUUGGUUCUCUAUUUGCAGCUCCGCUCUGCUUGUUUCGAUCAGUUCUGGUAAUAAUAAGGAACUUGCAGCUCUGUCCACAACACUUGUUUGAUUUGUGCAGCUCGACCCCUGUUUGGAAACUAACUGUGUGCAGAUUUCGUCCCCAGCUUCAGUGUGCUCAGUGACACCUGAUGAACUUUUUUGGGAGGCAAACUUCAAACUCUGCAUUCUAUUAAGUCCAAAACACAGCAAGGGAAACACUUUAUUUAUUUAUUUAUUUAUUUGCGAGAUACCAGCCCCUGAUUACAGAAGCAGACAAGCUUAUAAAGAUGAUUAAAUCUAAGAAAAACAAGAACUGAUGACCUGAAUGGUGAUGCAUAACCUGAAGGGUUGCACCAGCACCCGAAAGAACCGGGUAUCAUUGCUCAAAAUCUGAACUCCACACAGUUUCUCUUGAGCUGCUCAGACUUUGACCCAAAGACCAUUGUGAAAUUUUCAAACCCUGGAUGUCUUUGCCUGAUGCUGGCUUUCUGAAUUGUCCUACUCUACAUGAUAUAUCCCUGACGACGAUAUGGAACAGUUUAACCAUGACACAAGUAUGCAUCAGGUAAUCAUGAAAUCUCUCGAGUGAGAUCAUUUUUCCUUCACAAAGAUUCUUCUCUUCAAUGGAGCCUUUGUUUACCCUGCGGCAUGUGUUUGCUUCUCCUGUUAUUUAGUUCUCAAUGUGUUCGCUUCAUGGUGCCUUUUUUACACUACACAAGUGAUAGGCUGAGAUGCAAUACCACAUAUGUUUUCUCUGCCGUUUUGCACAAAACUAUCACCAUGUACAUGCAUGUAUGUUCACUGUAAGAAGGCAUUCUUCUUUGUUCGUAACCUCUUUGCUUUGUUUCAUAUUGUGCACAUGUGUUGUGUCCAUAAGUUAUGAAAAAUCCCAUCUAGCGCAGAAACUGUAGUAAAGAAACGGUUAGCAGAUCGAAUUUCAAGGUUUAGUGCACUCGAUGACGCCCGAACCUUAAAUAUUGCACAAGCAGCCAAAAUAGCCUGAUCUCCUUUUGAAAUCCAAACACUGAAGCUAUAAGAAUAAAAUUUUGCAAUGUUCGGAGAUCUCAAUCAGAGGAAGCAGACCUUACAAAUAGGAGCAAAGCAAUGAUAUUACAAAUCGAAGCUACUGUCAUCACAUAAGCAAGAAGUCUGUCUAGAACAUGCGAAGCCAAUUGGUACUUGUUGCAAGGAAAUAGCAGGUGCACCUGUCCUCCCAGUUUACUUGAAUAGAUUUGCGGUUUCAAACUUCUGCUGAUAUAUAACAAACACGAAUUAAUAGCCAAAGACGGGAUUCAGGGCGAUCGACGUCUUUUCCUGUUCCUGUUCAUGUUCAUUCCUUUUAGACUGUCGUGGCUUUCAAUCUCUGCCAAGUAGCAAACUGAUUUGGCAGCACCAUGCACACCUUCCUGAGAGAUCUGGCGGCAGCCUAUAACGGUCAGGGACUCCAACUUCUGUGAACGUGCCAGCUCAGCCAUUCCACGAUCUGUCACGUUCUCACAUUUGCGGAGGAUGAGACUACUCAUGCAAGGAGCUUGAAUAAUGUGACUAAUACCAGCAUCAGUUACAGACAUGCAAUCCACGAGCUCAAGUGUCUCCAGGAACUGUGCGGAUGAGAGGCCCUCCAUCCCCUCGUCAUACAAAAUGCUGGCACCAUUUAGCAAAAGAGCGCGAAUUGGACAAGAUUGGAUGAGCGCCACAAUGCCCUCUUGUGUGAAACCUAUUUCAGUAGGCCAAUCGGGUUCGCAAAAUGUGAAUGUGAGCUCAACAGCCUGAAGCAUAGGGCAACUGAGAGCUAGAGCCUUAAGGCUAACAUCAGUCAAUGGCGUCCUAUACUCAUAACCUUCACAAUGCAGAGGCAUGAGCCGAAGUGAGAUUGUUUUAAGGUUGUUGCACCUCUGAAAUAGUGCAAUCAUCUCAUUCUCUUUUAGACAAAUAACAUACUCCAGGUAAAGUGUCUCCAAUGCUUUGCACUUCCCCAGGAGAAAACGAAG
rnacentral:lncRNA from 1 species